rnacentral:hammerhead_ribozyme from 1 species
CAGUGCUGAUGAGUCUCAAACAGGACGAAACAGCUGUCCAGUGC